AUAGAGUUCGUAGAUUCAAAUCUUCGUAAUUUGUUAAUCACAAGGAGUCGUGAUUGUGAGAUACAAAUUACAUCUGAUUGAAUCUUAAAUCGUCCGUGGUCAUAAGUAAUAACGAGAUACAGAUACCGUUAUUACGGAUAGACCAUCACGUGUGACAUUUCUUACUUAUGAAGUAAGUAGACUAAGUGUGGUGACAUUUAAAUAAACACGUGGAUGUUUUGUUAUAGAACAAAACAUUGGAGACCCGUCGAGAGAUUCCACAUGAAUAACUAUCUAAGUGUCAGUGGUUAAUCUCUAACGUUCGGUAGUGGAAUUGGUCCUUUGACUUGAGGUCGUCAUGGUACCUUAUAUGAUGACAGUCAUAUUUUGACGGUGUUGAAUGUUGCUCUGCAAAGGGCUACUAAUAUGACAUCGUUCGGGUACGUCAAGAAUCGUAUGAAGGUUAUGAUUGACCAAUAAAUGAUUCGUCACUCUUAGAUAGUAUGAGAUUAUGAUCUGUGUUUCAUUCAAUUAAGUCGAUGAUGAAAUCUUUGGCUAAGGUCUACUCAUAAGUCGUAAAGAAGUUUUCGACUUAUAUUAACUUAAUAGUGGAGUGAAAAAUAUGAUCGAUAAUCGAAAUUGACACACUUCCAUAUCUCGUAAUUGAUCGGAUCAUAUUGAAAAAAGAAUUAUAGUUUCACGGUAAACGAAUGAGUUUGAUUUUGUCAUACCACGUGACAUUUCUCUUCAUAUGUAUUGUCCUGACACAUUGUUAGAUAUCAAUCUGGAAAGACGAGUAUAAAUUAGUGAUAAAUUAAAAGGGUAUUUUAAUUUAUCAAUUUUGAUUAGAUUAAAAUAAUAUUUCAUAUCGUUAAGCAUAGUGAUCGCGAACCUGAUGGGUCGUACACAAAAGGAGAAUUGGAAAAUUGUAAUUU
rnacentral:lncRNA from 1 species